GAUGAAGAACGUAGCGAAAUGCGAUAAGUAGUGUGAAUUGCAGAAUUCAGUGAAUCAUCGAAUCUUUGAACGCACAUUGCGCCCCUCGGUAUUCCGUGGGGCAUGCCUGUUCGAGCGUCAUUUAACCCCUCAAGCCUAGCUUGGUAUUGGGUGCUUGUCCCGCCUCUCGCGCGGCGACUCACCUCAAAGUCAUUGGCAGCCCGCAUCUCGCCGGCCGUGAGCGCAGCACAGACGCGCGCUUGGCAACGACGGAUCGGCUCUCCAAAAGCUUAUUUCAACCACUGACCUCGGAUCAGGUAGGGAUACCCGCUGAACUUAAGCAUAUCAAUAAGCGGAGGA
rnacentral:misc_RNA from 1 species